AUGGGAUCGAUUGGCAACAGGAUACCCAAAGUUGGUAUGCGGUUCAGAAAUUCGGAUGAGGCUUGGGAGUUCUGGGUGCAAUAUGGAGGUCACAUAGGCUUUGAUUUGAGGAAAAGAAAUACCAUCAGAAGCAGAAUUGAUGGAACAAUCACUUCAUGUAGGUUUGUUUGUUCCAAUAAAGGCAUUCGAAGGAAAAAUCAAAUAGAUCACGAGCCGAAGCGCAUUAGAGCUGAAACAAGAACCAAUUGUAAAGUUCGGAUGAUUGUUUCAUUUGAUCGAGUGGCCAAUUUUUUUGAAGUCACCGAAGUUGAUUUGGAACACAAUCACCUCCUUCAAUUGCCACAAACCUGUCACUUGUUGGCAUCACAAAGGAAGAUUUCAGAUGUGCAAGCUUUAGAGAUAGAAACGGCCGAUGAUUCUGGAAUUAUGCCAAAAGCUUCACAU
rnacentral:rRNA from 1 species